AACCCUAGUCAAUAGACUUACGGCGUAAAACGUGUUUAAGGACUUUCCUAAUAAAGUUAAACUUUAACUAUGCCGUAAAAAGCUACAGCUACUGUAAAAUCCAAUGCGAAAGUAACUUUAAAUUACCUGAAUACACGACAGCUAAGGCCCAAACUGGGAUUAGAUACCCCACUAUGCUUAGCCCUAAACCCAAAGAGCCUCACAACAAGGCCCUUCGCCAGAGUACUACUAGCCAAAGCUUAAAACUCAAAGGACUUGGCGGUGCUUUAUAUCCUUCUAGAGGAGCCUGUUCUAUAAUCGAUAAACCCCGAUAAACCUCACCAACUCUUGCCAACU
rnacentral:rRNA from 1 species